CUCAGAUUGAACGCUGGCGGCAGGCCUAACACAUGCAAGUCGAGCGGUAGAGAGAAGCUUGCUUCUCUUGAGAGCGGCGGACGGGUGAGUAAUGCCUAGGAAUCUGCCUGGUAGUGGGGGAUAACGUUCGGAAACGGACGCUAAUACCGCAUACGUCCUACGGGAGAAAGCAGGGGACCUUCGGGCCUUGCGCUAUCAGAUGAGCCUAGGUCGGAUUAGCUAGUUGGUGGGGUAAUGGCUCACCAAGGCGACGAUCCGUAACUGGUCUGAGAGGAUGAUCAGUCACACUGGAACUGAGACACGGUCCAGACUCCUACGGGAGGCAGCAGUGGGGAAUAUUGGACAAUGGGCGAAAGCCUGAUCCAGCCAUGCCGCGUGUGUGAAGAAGGUCUUCGGAUUGUAAAGCACUUUAAGUUGGGAGGAAGGGUUGUAGAUUAAUACUCUGCAAUUUGACGUACCGACAGAAUAGGC
rnacentral:rRNA from 1 species